rnacentral:lncRNA from 1 species
GGAGGAGAGACACCGUCACCGAGCUGACUGGCUCGACCAGAGACAAGUAUACAACCCGGUAAUAGUCAAGGGACUCGAGACACAACUGAAGCCACACAGCUUUUUUCAUCAAAGAUAUCCUGAGAGGUAUUCCAAUGGAAUCUCAAGUGCUGGAGGACAGCUUUACUUCUGAACCACGGGCAUAGCCAGAAAUGUUCAUCUUUUCUGGUCUCAU